AUUGAACGCUGGCGGCAGGCCUAACACAUGCAAGUCGAGCGAGCGGCGGACGGGUGAGUAAUGUAUGGGGAUCUGCCCGAUAGCGGGGGAUAACUACUGGAAACGGUAGCUAAUACCGCAUACUAUCAGAUGAACCCAUAUGGGAUUCGCUAGUAGUGGGGGUAAAGUCUCACCUAGGCGACGAUCUCUAGCUUGUCUGAGUGGAUGAUGAGCGACACUGGGACGGAGACACGGCCCAGACUCCUACGGGAGGCAGCAGUGGGGAAUAUUGCACAAUGGGGGCAAGCCUGAUGCAGCCAUGCCGCGUGUAUGAAGAAGGCCAUAGGGUUGUAAAGUACUUUCAGCCGGGAGGCGUUACCCGCAGAAGAAGCACCGGCUAACUCCGUGCCAGCAGCCGCGGUAAUUC
rnacentral:rRNA from 1 species